GAUGAACGCUGGCGGCGUGCCUAAUACAUGCAAGUCGAGCGAACAGACGAGGAGCUUGCUCCUCUGACGUUAGCGGCGGACGGGUGAGUAACACGUGGAUAACCUACCUAUAAGACUGGGAUAACUUCGGGAAACCGGAGCUAAUACCGGAUAAUAUAUUGAACCGCAUGGUUCAAUAGUGAAAGACGGUUUUGCUGUCACUUAUAGAUGGAUCCGCGCCGCAUUAGCUAGUUGGUAAGGUAACGGCUUACCAAGGCAACGAUGCGUAGCCGACCUGAGAGGGUGAUCGGCCACACUGGGACUGAGACACGGUCCAGACUCCGACGGGAGGCAGCAGUAGGGAAGCGUCCGAAAUGGGCGAAAGCCUGACGGAGCAACGCCGCGUGAGUGAUGAAGGUCUUCGGAUCGUAAAACUCUGUUAUUAGGGAAGAACAAAUGUGUAAGUAACUAUGCACGUCUUGACGGUACCUAAUCAGAAAGCCACGGCUAACUACGUG
rnacentral:rRNA from 1 species